rnacentral:rRNA from 1 species
GAUGAACGCUGGCGGCGUGCCUAAUACAUGCAAGUCGAGCGAACAGAUAAGGAGCUUGCUCCUUUGACGUUAGCGGCGGACGGGUGAGUAACACGUGGGUAACCUACCUAUAAGACUGGGAUAACUUCGGGAAACCGGAGCUAAUACCGGAUAACAUUUGGAACCGCAUGGUUCUAAAGUGAAAGAUGGUUUUGCUAUCACUUAUAGAUGGACCCGCGCCGUAUUAGCUAGUUGGUAAGGUAACGGCUUACCAAGGCGACGAUACGUAGCCGACCUGAGAGGGUGAUCGGCCACACUGGAACUGAGACACGGUCCAGACUCCUACGGGAGGCAGCAGUAGGGAAUCUUCCGCAAUAGGCGAAAGCCUGACGGAGCAACGCCGCGUGAGUGAUGAAGGGUUUCGGCUCGUAAAACUCUGUUAUUAGGGAAGAACAAAUGUGUAUGUAACUGUGCACGUCUUGACGGUACCUAAUCAGAAAGCCACGGCUAACUACGUG